UACGUAGGUGACCAGCGUUGUCCGGAUUUACUGGGCGUAAAGAGCGCGCAGGCGGUCGUUCAAGUCGAGUGUGAAAGCCCCCGGCUCAACUGGGGAGGGUCAUUCGAUACUGAUCGACUGGAAGGCAGGAGAGGGAAGCGGAAUUCCCGGUGUAGUGGUGAAAUGCGUAGAUAUCGGGAGGAACACCAGUGGCGAAGGCGGCUUCCUGACCUGUUCUUGACGCUGAGGCGCGAAAGCUAGGGGAGCAAACGGG
rnacentral:rRNA from 1 species